CCUACGGGAGGCAGCAGUGGGGAAUAUUGGACAAUGGGCGAAAGCCUGAUCCAGCAAUGCCGCGUGAGUGAUGAAGGCCUUAGGGUUGUAAAGCUCUUUUACCAGGGAUGAUAAUGACAGUACCUGGAGAAUAAGCUCCGGCUAACUCCGUGCCAGCAGCCGCGGUAAUACGGAGGGAGCUAGCGUUGUUCGGAAUUACUGGGCGUAAAGCGUGCGUAGGCGGCUAUUCAAGUCAGAGGUGAAAGCCCGGGGCUCAACCCCGGAACUGCCUUUGAAACUAGGUAGCUAGAAUCUUGGAGAGGUUAGUGGAAUUCCGAGUGUAGAGGUGAAAUUCGUAGAUAUUCGGAAGAACACCAGUGGCGAAGGCGACUAACUGGACAAGCAUUGACGCUGAGGCACGAAAGCGUGGGGAGCAAACAGGAUUAGAUACCCUGGUAGUCCACGCCGUAAACGAUGAUAACUAGCUGUUCGGGUACUUGGUAUCUGAGUGGCGCAGCUACGCAUAAGUUAUACCGCCGUCGGGUAGGUACGGUCGCGAAGAAGUUAAAACGUUAAAGGUAAAGUUAGUAACGGUACGUGUUAGAGUAGCGACGGACGACGACGAGGGAGGAGG
rnacentral:rRNA from 1 species